AGAGAAUAGAUACCCGGGUAGUCCCAGCUGUAAACGAUGCAGACUCGGUGAUGAAUUGGCUUAUUGCUAAAUUCAGUGCCGCGAGGGAAGCCGUUAAGUUUGCCGCCGUGGGGAGUACGGUCGCAAGACUAGAAAACUUAAAGGAAUUGGCGGGGGAGCACCACGAAGGGGUGAAGCCUGCGGUUCAAUUGGAGUCAACGCCGGAAAUCGUUACCGGGGGCGACAGCAGAGUGAAGGUCAAGCUGAAGACUUUACCAGACAAGCUGAGAGGAGGUGCAUGGCCGUCGCCAGCUCGUGCCGUGAGGUGUCCUGUUAAGUCAGGUAACGAGCGAGAUCCCUGCCUCUAGUUGCUACCAUUAUUCUCAGGAGUAGUGGAGCUAAUUAGAGGGACCGCCGUCGCUGAGACGGAGGAAGGUGGGGGCUACGGCAGGUCAGUAUG
rnacentral:rRNA from 1 species